UUCUUUUUUUUCUUGGAAUUAUUUAACAUAUGUUGCAUGUGGAUUGGUUAACAAUGAAAGAUUUAUGUAUGCCCUUGGUUCUCAAGCACCAUCCCAAUACUUUCAGGCCAAUGCAUGAAAUUACAAUAUCAACAAUUGACAAGCCGAAAUUGCUCAGUCAGUUGACGUCCUUACUUUCUGAGAUUGGGCUGAAUAUUCAAGAAGCACAUGCUUUUUCAACAACAGAUGGCUUUUCCUUGGAUGUUUUUGUAGUUGAUGGUUGGGUAAUUGAGGAUACCAAGCAGCUAAAAGAUAUACUGGCAGAAGAAAUAUCAAAGAUUCAGAAAAGGCAUCCUCUAUUCACACCUUGCAUUUUCCAUACUAAGAAGCAAGACAAAUUUGGAGUCAAGUUCACUACAAAGUAUGUCAACAUUCCAAGAGACGAAGUUGAUGCAUGGGAAAUUGAUGUGAGCCUGCUAGUAUUUGAGAAGAAAAUUGCGUCUGGAUCUCUUAGUGACUUGUAUAAAGGCACCUUCUAUGGUCAAGAUGUUGCUAUUAAGCUUUUAAAAAAUGAAAACUUGAAUGAGACUGUCCGGCGGGAAUUUGUUCAAGAAAUUCAUAUCAUGAGAAAACUUCGGCACAAGAAUGUUGUCCAAUUUAUUGGUGCAUCUACCAGGCCUCCAAGCCUUUUCAUUGUUACAGAGUACAUGUCUGGUGGAAGCUUACACGACUUUUUACAUCAACAAAAGGGCGUUCUUAGUUUUCCUUCCUUACUAAGAGUGGCAGUUGAUGUGUCGAAGGGAAUGGACUAUUUGCAUCAAAAGAAUAUCAUCCAUAGAGAUCUAAAAGCUGCAAAUCUUUUGAUGGAUGAAUAUGGGGUUAUCAAGGUAGCUGAUUUUGGUGUUGCUAGAGUGCUAGCUCAAUCUGGUGUGAUGACUGCUGAAACUGGAACAUAUCGUUGGAUGGCUCCGGAGGUUAUUGAGCACAAACCGUACGAUCAUAAAGCUGAUGUUUAUAGCUUUGGGAUAGUGUUGUGGGAGCUGCUUACAGGACAGCUGCCUUAUAAUAACUUGACUCCGUUACAAGCAGCAAUAGGAGUAGUCCAGAAGGGUCUGAGGCCUAAGAUUCCGAGGCAUGCUCAUCCGAUGAUCGUGGAUUUGCUCGAGAAAUGCUGGCUGCAGGAUCCAUCUUUGAGACCCGAAUUCUCUGAAAUUACGAGACUUCUACAACAAACACCACCAAAGGAGGUAGGGAAACGUUGUGUUGAAACUGUUAAAAUUUAUUCAUUUGUUUCUCGGGCACUUACACGUUGUUGGAACAAGAUUAUAUAAUAAGAAACUUGGGAGUGACAGGAACCUUCUGGAAGAUGAUUAAAUAUUCUGGGGUGGAGAAGGACGUUCUAUGGAGGAGAGCCAACAAACAAUAGACGGGGAAUCGAGCAAAUCUUUGCUUAUGGAAAAUCAUGGAUACCUUAGAUAAUGAUAUGAUGUGAGGGGCACACCUCUUUAUAGAUCCGUCCCUGUAAGGAAGAAAGAACUUUACCAUUGACGACUUGAAGAAGAAAAUGAAGAAGAUGUCGGUGAUGGAGUUUUCCGAUGGAGGAUAUGACAAAGUUGAAGAAGAAGGGAGGAACACAAGAGUUAAAGGAGUUUCCACUUCGAGAUCAUGAUAGAGAAAUUAGAGAAUUGAUCUUUUGUAUUGAUGUGAUAAAAAGUAGAUAUAUAUAGAAACAAUUAUUUCUAAA